GCGGGCGGGAGGCAACGCGGCGGGCGGGGGGCCGAGGUGCAUGUUGGGGGUUGUAGUCUUUCUCGGUGCCUGGGGGGCGCUUAGUAGGAAGUGGGGCACCUCACAAGGCUCCUCGCUAUCCGGAAUCCAGAGGUAGGCUGAGGUAGUGUGGCUUCGUGGCCUUCCUGCAGUCUCAGCCUGGUUUCAACUAAAGCUGUCGGAGGGAGAAUAUCUCUUUUGUACCACAUCUGUCACCGCAGUGGGGUUAUUACCAACCUCCAAGUGUAUCUUCCUAGAGCUGUUGUAUUGAAAAGGGAUUUUAAAAUGCAUGGUGUUACCCAGGCUGCAUCCAUUGCUCUUUCGUGCUAAAGUGCUAUGUAUUUGUCAGCACAGCAGCCUGGUUCUUUGAAGAUGACAAGAAGCAGGGAUUUCUUUUGUAAGGUGCUUAACCUACAUUUCAACCCUAUUAAACAAGCGAAGAGAAACCAGUACCGUCCUCUUACUCAUUUCUUGCUUAUUUGCUAAGUCAGUAACAGCAGUGCUAUCUCCUGCCCCCCAGAUCACACUGUACUGUCAAACAGGAAGAAACGCCAUGUUCAUUUUCCUCAAGGGCAUCUCUUAGGCAUGCGAGCUGACUUCCUUAUUGAUUGCCACUUGUCAAUAUGUAAUCAGAAGCCAAGCGAUUGCUUCCCUCAUAGUCUGCCACAGAGCAUUCCCCCAGAGCUCUCUGCUUGUUGGAGGGGAAUAGGGAUUCAGUUCUGAGGAUUCAGUAUCCUCUUGUUUCAACAGAUAUUUUACUAUAGUAAAGGGAGCAGAAAUGACAUUGACUAACAUAAAAUAAAUGGGCAUUAAACGGAUUUCAGUGGAUGCGUGGUUUUGUUUCCUAAAAUAUCCGGAGUGUGAGAAUAAGAAAGGUUGAGCUUUUCAUCAUGAAUUAGGCGUGUCUUAAAGAAAGGUUCAAUGGUGGUCAGAAGGAUCAGGCUUGGCUUCGCCAGGAGCUUUUGAGGAACAAGGUCAGCGCCUUUUGCAGAAAGUCUAUUUGUUUGCAGUACUUCAGGGAAUCUCAGGGAUAAAAUGGUUUCUGAGCAUUACCAGAG